UGUCUGGCCAGCAGGUUCCCGAAGCCCGAGUCACAGCCCGUGAACAACACAUACUUGUCUUGGGGGUUGCUCACCACCUGCCUCUCCCAUACCAGCGCACGACGUGGUACAGGCUCAGGAGGGCUGACAGAUAUUUUUGUGCUUUUCCAGGAGAUAUUCUUCCAGAUGUAUAUCAAUCAGUACCUGUUUGUCAAGAACCUAAUUGGUAAACUGGUUGUGGCGUAAUCUCAACACUGCGGAGGCUGAGGUGGGAGGAUGCACAAUGUGGACCCUAGUCUGGACACCGCACCCCAGCUCUUCCACUCCACUUCUCAUGAAAUUUCUUGGAAGAAAUUUCCACUGAACAAGAGCUUUAGACAUCACAGCCUGUUUUCAGCUAAAGUCAUCAGCAACUAGGCCCCAUGCAGCUCAGAAUGCCAGAUUUCUGUAUCCACCCAGUUCACUGCCAUUCAGCCCAGUCUCCCUCAGUUAAACAAGAAAAAGAUUGACUUCACUUUUAUUAUUUAGGUGAGACAAAAUGUUUCCUCAGUUCCCAUCAAGUUUUAAUUUUGUUAAAGAAACAUAAUCCUAGUUCUCUUAAAAUCUCAUCCUAAGUAUCAUUCUUCUGCUGAUUUAUCAACUACCUAAUUUUUUUUCUUUUUCUUUUUCUUUUUUG